AGCCCUGAGGCCUAAGAAGGAGCCGGCCUUGCAAGGCUCUUGGGGAAGGAAGUUCCAGGCAGACGGAACAGCAGGCACAAAGGCCCUGAGGGCUCUGCUUCCAACUGUUGCCUCUUCCAAGAUGGCUGCCCUGACCACCCCCAGCUAAUUCAGCCCCUUAUGACCCUGUUAGCAGGUGAGCUGCUCUUCGUGAUAAAAUAGGAGAGGGUGGUGCUCUCUUUCUAUAUAUAGGAGAUAUAUUAGCCUGAUGGGCAUUCAUUUCCCCUUCUCAUUUUUCGUUGGAAACCAUCCUUUCCUUCUCUUAGUCUGUGAGAUUGGAUGGGGCCGGCCCCAUUCCCCAGCUCCAGAAAUGAGCACAUCAUCCAAGUAAAGCCAAUGAGAGACAGCUGCAGAACUUUUGCUGGAAUGACCCAGAAAGCCAAAUUUUUGUUCUGCCGUGGUUAUUUAUCUGGUAGGAUAUAAGGUUUGAGCUGCUGGGGAGCAGAGGACCUGCCUGAAAACGAACUGAGUACUGAGGAAAGCAGAGGUGAGAGAGGGAGAGAGGCACAGUUCUGAGUGUAUUGUUUGAGCACCUACAUUCAGCCAUACCUGAAAUCCAAACUCCCCCUGGACUUUUCCAUUAUAAGAGCCAAUAAGUUCCCUUUGUGCUUAAUUAAGCUAGUUUGGGUUUCAGUCACUUGCAACAGAAGACCUGAUUGAUGAUAAAUCUUCAAAGAUGUGCCGGCAGUCAAGCUUGGGUACUUUCCCCUUGAGGGAUGUGGGCAGGUGCUUCCCUCACUCUGAAGCUGUUUCCCCUCUAGAGGCUCCUAUUCGAGUGUUUGUGGUUCGUUCAACCUGAGAUAGAAAAGCAGAAUCAAAGUGCCAGACGGGAGGAGGGGUGGCUAUAGGAGCAGCCAGGCAGCCAGCAGUGGGGACUAGGAAUCUGCAUUAUUGAUAAGCAAAUCCAUUUUCCUUCCCUCUUCUCUGUAGGCAGAGCCCUGAAUUUAUUAGCUCCGUUCGUGUGUCCAGCAACAGCAGUCUAAGUCAGUCGCAGUUCUCCGGUCCCCUUGUUGGUGACUGGUUCUGGAAGGGGCUGUGACACACUCUUGGCCAAGAAGACGUGAGGGGACAUCUGCUGGGGAGGGGUCAGCAGGAGGUUUCUGGGGGAAAAUGUUUUUGUUCUUCAACAGCAAUGCAGGGGAAAGAAACUUCCUUUCUCUGCCUCCCGCAGAAAGCGCGGCAGUGUGAGGGCAUUGACUGACACGGAAUUCGACUCUCUUGAGCUCUCAGUCCAAAGCAGGAUCACGACAGAGUCUGUGUUUGGUUCUGCCCUCCAUCCACGUGGGGAAAGAGGGAGUGGUAACAACAUUCUUCUAGUUUAACAAAGAAAAGCUCACAAAUCUUUAUCCUUUUCAGAAUCAACAUGCCAACUCCCAGGGCAACAAAUUAGGUAAGACAACAAAUCACAAUUACAGAUUUGGGGAGGGGGGGGUGAAGUGUCCUUUCCCGAGAUGUACCAGUCGUCUCUGAAGUCCCUGUGGCCUACAAAGAAUAUUUGCAAGAGGAGUUUUAUGAUGCCGAAGAGUGUCUGAUUUUCUCAGCUGCAAAGAAAGAUAAUUUUUCUACUAUCUUUCUGUAAUUUCUUUCACCAGCCUUUAGAAGAACCUAUAAGAGCUGGAAUGUCAACGUCAAGACCUGGAAUCCCACUGGUUAGUACCAAAAGCAAAGUCAGAGAGACUAAACACUUCAAAUAGGGAAAGGAAAUGGGCAGAGUAGGAUUUCAGCAAAAGGAAGUAUAAGGUUGUAAUGUUUUGCAUCCACAGGAAACGAUGGCUGGAACUGUAGCAGCCACGUUGCCACCCUGAGGGAUGAUGCUGCCAACAUGCCAAGGAAUCUUAGUCCAUGGGGACAUCAUUCAAAUGACGCAGUGACCACUGUAGAACCUCCCUACCUUGGUGGGACUAGUUGUUUUGUAAAAUAAUAAAGGCCCUUAUUUUUUAA